rnacentral:rRNA from 1 species
GACGUAGGGCGCGAGCGUUGUCCGGAUUUAUUGGGCGUAAAGAGCUCGUAGGCGGCUCGUUGCGUCGGCUGUGAAAACCCGCAGCUCAACUGUGGGCUUGCAGCUGAUACGGGCGGGCUGGGAUUCGGUAGGGGAGCCUGGAAUUCCUGGUGUAGCGGUGAAAUGCGCAGAUAUCAGGAGGAACACCGAUGGCGAAGGCGGGUCUCUGGGCAGAUACUGACGAUGAGGAGCGAAAGCGUGGGGAGCGAACAGG